rnacentral:rRNA from 1 species
CAGCCGCCGCGGUAACACGUAGGUGGCAAGCGUUGUCCGGAAUUAUUGGGCGUAAAGGGCUCGCAGGCGGUUUCUUAAGUCUGAUGUGAAAGCCCCCGGCUCAACCGGGGAGGGUCAUUGGAAACUGGGAAACUUGAGUGCAGAAGAGGAGAGUGGAAUUCCACGUGUAGCGGUGAAAUGCGUAGAGAUGUGGAGGAACACCAAUGGCGAAGGCGACUCUCUGGUCUGUAACUGACGCUGAGGAGCGAAAGCGUGGGGAGCGAACAGGAUUAGAUACCCCCGUAGUCCCUGUCUCUUAUAC